GAUGAACGCUGGCGGCGUGCUUAACACAUGCAAGUCGAACGAUGAAGCCCAGCUUGCUGGGUGGAUUAGUGGCGAACGGGUGAGUAACACGUGAGUAACCUGCCCUUAACUCUGGGAUAAGCCUGGGAAACUGGGUCUAAUACCGGAUAGGAGCGUCCACCGCAUGGUGGGUGUUGGAAAGAUUUAUCGGUUUUGGAUGGACUCGCGGCCUAUCAGCUUGUUGGUGAGGUAAUGGCUCACCAAGGCGACGACGGGUAGCCGGCCUGAGAGGGUGACCGGCCACACUGGGACUGAGACACGGCCCAGACCCCUACGGGGGGCAGGAGGGGGGAAUAUUGCACAAGGGGCGAAAGCCUGAUGCAGCGACGCCGGGGGGGGGAUGACGGCCUUCGGGUUGUAAACCUCUUUCAGUAGGGAAGAAGCGAAAGUGACGGUACCUGCAGAAGAAGCACCGGCUAACUACGU
rnacentral:rRNA from 1 species